rnacentral:tRNA from 2 species
UCCUGAACCACUAAACGAUGGGGGC